CAGAGUUGCAAAACUCCCUAAACCCUUUGUUUAUAUACCUGUUCAGUUGCUUCGGCAGGCGGCCCCAGGGCGGGGCCUCCAGCCUGCUCACGCAGGUGCCUGCCGCUGGCGCAAAAACCUCUUUUGUUAUAUAUUACCAUCCGAGUCUCACAAAAAUGAAUCA
rnacentral:misc_RNA from 1 species